rnacentral:lncRNA from 1 species
AAAUAGAUUUCCAGAAGGUGCUUUUCAACCUUUAGAACAAUUGACAAUGUUAAUUAGUGUAUUAUGUGAUGUUGAGCCAAGAAUUCCUACCAUAUACCGAUACAAUAUCUCAAAACAGAUUGUUUAUACAUCAAAUAUAAAGGACGAAAAGAAAGAAUUAUAUAAUUUUGAUGUUUUAUGUAAUCAUCAUAAUCGGCCUUGUUGGGAUGCAAAUGCUUAUUUAGCUGCUCAGCAAGAAAGAGAUCAUCAGGUGAGAAACUAUUAGCAUUUUUUUUUAUUAGCUGAUUAAUAGGGCAUGCCAAUUUAUGUAUUGCACCAGAUGGCACAUACAUUUAAUAUGGUAUAAAAUAAAAAUGACAGCACAGUUAAAUACAC